rnacentral:lncRNA from 1 species
CCUGAACUGGGUCACACCUCAUCAAAGUCUCACCUCUAUGCACUGUCUUCCUGGAAACAUGGGCUGACACUGGAACAAAUGUAUUAACCAAAUCAAAGAUCCUCAUCAGAGCUUAUCCACUCAAAUGGAUGCUAUUUCUCCUGCCUCCUGCCUCCUGCCUCCUGCCUCCUGGUCUCAUUGCUCAAGUAUGCCUAGGUGUCAUUUUGAUGGCUUUCUCUGACUGUUUGGUGUCCCUUUCAUCCACGUGAUACUGGUGGAUCCUGCGGUAUGGAGGUAAUGAGUGGUUCUUCUUCCACAAAGCCACAUGGAGCGAGCUUCCAGGUAUAUGGACAGC